rnacentral:sRNA from 1 species
AUAUCUCUCUGUACGGGAAGGAUGAGAAGCUUCGACUACGGUUCGAUUCGAGCGCAGCGAGAAAGCGUUGCCGCAGGCAACGACCCGAAGGGCGAAGCGCGCAGCGCUGAGUAAUCCUUCCCCCACCACCA